AUUGAACGCUGGCGGCAUGCCUAACACAUGCAAGUCGAACGGCAACGGGCUCUAGCUUGCUAGAGCGCCCGGCGAGUGGCGAACGGGUGAGUAACGCGUAGGAAUAUACCUUUAAGUGGGGACAACUCGGGGGAAACUCGAGCUAAUACCGCAUAAUCUCUGAGGAGCAAAGCUGGGGACCUUCGGGCCUGGCGCUUAAAGAUUAGCCUGCGUCCGAUUAGCUAGUUGGUGGGGUAAAGGCCUACCAAGGCGACGAUCGGUAGCUGGUCUGAGAGGAUGAUCAGCCACAUUGGGACUGAGACACGGCCCAAACUCCUACGGGAGGCAGCAGUGGGGAAUCUUGCACAAUGGAGGAAACUCUGAUGCAGCGAUGCCGCGUGAGUGAAGAAGGCCCUAGGGUUGUAAAGCACUUUUAGUAGUGAGGAAGGCUCAGUAGUUAAUACCUACUGGGAUUGACGUUAGCUACAGAAAAAGCACCGGCUAAUUUCGUG
rnacentral:rRNA from 1 species